rnacentral:snoRNA from 1 species
CGCCUCUGUGUACAAUACCCCGUGCACCACCGUGUGGGAGUGUUGAAGGAGAGUCGCGAAAGUACCCCAUACCUGUUGGCAAACGGCCGCUCUGCUCCGGCUGCGUAUGGCACUGAUCCUUCGUCAGCGCAGUCGCAUGAGCUUGGCAGCAACCUCUGGCAGGCACAGUC